GCAAGCUUCGAAAAUGAAUUUAUGGCGAAACGGCAUGAUCCUGAGUCAAGCGGAGCAAUUUUCUGGAGCCAGAUCGGCUGUUUCAAUGAAGCCGGCUGCUGGGAUUUACUCAUCUGGCGUGUAAGUAUUAAUUUAUGAAGCCGGUGAUUAAGGAGAAAGAGAUCCAGCCUCCGUCGAACCGGGAAGAAUCCAGUUUCCCUUCCCAGCCAUAACUCGGGUGUUCACCUGGAAGGCCCCUGAAACCUCUCCUCCAAAAAGCCUUCGAAUUUAAUGACCUGUCAAGCAAACCCUUCAGUUUGCAAAAAGUUGGAUUCAAGAAACUUUUCGGAGCGGAUGUUGUCGGCCCUUGCUCCUCCCAUAGGAUUUUCCUGACCCAAUUAUUUAGGAUCCUAAUGAUUUUUCCAGCCCACGAAACCCUCCGUCCUUGACUAUUUUGACCAGCACUUUGUUGAUUUUUCUGGGAAUCACUCACCGCCCAGGAUGAUGGGCUUUGCGUGCCAAAACGCAACUAGAAGAAUAAUAAGAGUCCGACCAUUUUGGUUUUGUCGUUAGAAAUGUUUAAAAGGUUAUGAAAGCAACACCUUCCUGGGACAGAUAACGGAUUUAUAGCCCCACAAUGAUCCCGGAGCUGAGAAAAAUGUUCCUGGAAAGAAAACAAGGCAUGAGACAUCCUAGUAGUUCCACCGGUCGAGUUUGACAACGGCCCUAAAGAAGACAUUCCUCUGCAAAAUCUAGCCAUAUCCAAGGUUUUUGCGAACACCAACAGUUGGGAACUUACUCUAAAACUCCUAUAUGUUUUCCUCCUCCAACGUGGCCAUGAUCCUAUUAGUUAGACUCAACUAGAAUACCUGGAUCAACCUUUGAAGGGUUACAACAAGGCACCCAGCCAAGUGGUCAAUGCUGGACACUUUAUUUCUGAUGCCAGAAGGAGCAACGAUGGACAUCUAUGUUGACAGCCACCUGAUUUGCAGAGGCUGCUUUGGCAAACAGAGAGAGAGAUGGAUGGAAAACAGUCCUUCCAGGAACAGAUCAACACCUGACCGAUUUAGACCCUUUGAGGAGGAAGAGGAGCAGGAGCAGGAGGCAAGAUGUGCAAAUGCAAAAGAGCUGGGGAGAUGCUUAAACUUCCAUGCGCUGAUCUCCAUGCUUAAGCCAGGGAAUACAUAGGAAUACAUGGUGUCCUGGAGACCUUCAAACCGCUGUGGUGUCCCUUGUUUUCUUGGCCAGGUUUAUUCAGAAGACGUUUGCCAUGGCCUUCCUUUGAGGCUGAGAGAGCAUGACUUUCCUAAGGUCACGCAGUGGGUUUCCAUGGCUAAGUGAGGAUCUGUACCUUGGUCUCCCAUAUAGUCCCUGUCCAAUACGCACGCCAUUUCUGCACUUUAGCUCCCUUGCUAUGGACUGUCCAGUUAUUUCCAGCCUUUGGAGAACCUAUCUUUGGGUUUUCUUGGCAAGAUUUGUUCGGAGGGUCAUCCUUUGAGGCUGAGAGAGUGUGUCUUGCCAAAGGCCACCCAGUGGGUUUCCAUGACUGAUGGAUAGUUGAACCCAGGCCUCCCAGUUUCCAAAUCCAAUGCUCAAAUCACAACUCCAUGUUGGCUGUGUUUAUUGCAAGCCAAUAGACUGUUUAUUGUGUUGCAUUGCAGCAAAACCAACAAAGGGUCACACAUUCUCUCUUCUGUAGGUGCCUUAAUUAUGUCCACUAUUUCCUAAUUGCAAAAGCAAAUAUACCUCUCUGUCUGAUGGAGAGCAUCCACCUUUCGCUCAAGAUCAGGGACAUGGGGUGCACCAACGAUGUGCAACAUUGGCAUUCAACGCAAGCGUCGCAUAGAAAGGUCCGUACUUUAGCACUGUGUGCGGAGAUUAAUUCUGCAGAGCUCUGAUGUCGGAUCUCAGCGAGAGCUUUAUGGCAUGAAAUUUAAACAACAUUUGGCACAAACUUCCAUAGACUUCAGCCUCUUUGUCCACAAAAGCGGAAGCCAAAGAAGCCUUGCUGCCAGCCUUCAAGGUGCCACUAAACUCUUUUUGCUGCUUGUUUGCAUCCGCAUCACUUUGAAACUUGGAACGCUCUGGUUUUAUUCUUCCAUCGAUUCUGUCCCUCAUCGCCUUUGUCCAUACUAAUGACUCUUUGGUCCUAGCAAUACAACGACAAACAGGCGACAGCUUUGGAGUUUCUUACUUUGAAGAGGAACCAGAGAUGAGGGUAAAGGAAACUACAGUCUGGCUCCCAUAGGCCCCAAAAGAAAUCCUGGAGGAAGAUUCAUUAGCGUAAUGGACCUGUCAAAUGCAAAGCUUGGAAGCCUUGAUAACCUGAACAAUUAAGUUAAGUGCUUUUAAAAGACGAAUGUUCAGGGUGCAUUUGGAAGCAUGGGCCCCAAACUGUUCUUGUUGGUCUCCUUCUUAACAUUACUUCAUAUAAAACUUGCAAAUAGGUGUAUUCUAGCACAGUGAGAUCAGACACCCAAAAAGCCAGAAUCCCUGCUUUUGUCCAGAUCAUCUCCUUUUU